CUAAGCAUAUCAAUAAGCGGAGGAAAAGAAACCAACAGGGAUUGCCCCAGUAACGGCGAGUGAAGCGGCAGGAGCUCAAAUUUGAAAUCUGGGGUCCCCGACCUCCGAGUUGUAAUUUGGAGAGGCAACUUCGGGGGGGAGCGCCGGCCCAUGUUCCUUGGAACAGGACGUCACAGAGGGUGAGAAUCCCGUGCCAGGCCGGCUCCCUCCUCCCGGGUGAAGCGCCUUCGACGAGUCGAGUUGUUUGGGAAUGCAGCUCCAAGUGGGUGGUAAGUUUCAUCUAAAGCUAAAUACCGGCGGGAGACCGAUAGCGCACAAGUAGAGUGAUCGAAAGAUGAAAAGCACUUUGAAAAUAGAGUCAAAAAGUACGUGAAAUUGUUGAAAGGGAAGCGCUUGAGACCAGACUCAGGCCCGGGCAAACACCGCGCCCCCAGGGGCCGUGCAAUUGCCUGGGGCUGGGCCAGCAUCAGUGGACGCGGCGGGACAAAGGCGCCGGGAAUGUGGCUCCCCUCGGGGAGUGUUACCAGCCCGGCGCUCAAUGCCGCCGACGCCGACUGAGGACCGCGCCUAGGCUUGGAUGCUGGCUUAAUGGCCUUCAGCGACCCGUCUUGAAACACGGACCAAGGAGUCUAACAUCUAUGCGAGUGUUUGGGAGCCAAACCCUUGCGCGGAAUGAAAGUGAGCGGAGGUGGGAACCCCUCCCCCCGGGGGGGGGGCGCACCAUCGACCGAUCCUGAUGUCUUCGGAUGGAUUUGAGUAGGAGCAUAGCUGUUGGGACCCGAAAGAUGGUGAACUAUGCCUGAAUAGGGUGAAGCCAGAGGAAACUCUGGUGGAGGCUCGCAGCGGUUCUGACGUGCAAAUCGAUCGUCAAAUUUGGGUAUAGGGGCGAAAGACUAAUCGAACCCAU
rnacentral:rRNA from 1 species